GAUUCCUGCUCGACGCCCGUUUGUGAGCAGCUCCUUUCGACCAGAAUUGGAUUUGGAGAGCACAUGAAAUAUCUAGGUUUUUCAUUGAAAUUCUUCAGGAAUAUAGCUGGCUGGAGAGUGGAUUGAAGUGUCGAAGCAUGUUGCCAUUGUUUAGGGAGUAAUGGAGGAGGUUAAAAUUGGCACCAAGCUGUCGUGCUUAGCAUGUGGAUGACAUUUGACAGGGGAGGGUUUGUGAUGCACGCACGUAAGCACGUUGCUCUUGAGAGAUCAAUCGGCCACGGACAGGACGACCAAACGUUCAUCGUGAAGACCUAGCAGCUUGGACGGCUCGAUCCUGAAUUCCUGACCAUCCACGGAGCAGUUCUAGAACAGCUGACGGGAGGAGAGAGCGAGUUUCCUCUUCCCUUUUGGGUGUUUUCAUGAUUUCAUCAGACAAGACAGAAAACAUCAUGAAAUAAAGCUUCUUUCUCAAUGGCGCACAUAGUAGGUUAGCAGAAGCAGUACUAAAAGCUUCUUUCGGGCAUGUCGCUGUAACCAAACCUGCCCAGUGUGCUCGCCGGAGAAGAAGAACCGAGCAACCUUUUCUUUUCCCCACCGGUUCGCCAGACGAGAUGCAAAUGCGAUGCGAAAUGGAAGAAGCGAACAAAGCGCCAAAGCAGGGUCGAGAACGACGCACGGGAAUCACAUGAAAAGACGGACGGCAUCUGCCGUUUUUUUUCUCUUCGCGGCGCGGCGCGAGACGACGACGAGAGAGGGAGCACGCACGGCGGCUCGCGCCUCCAUCGAGCGUUUUCCACGGCCACCGCGCCCUAACGAGCUGCUCGCCUCCUUCCUAUGGGCGGUUGCUUGCGAUCGACCCGUCCGCCCAGGCGGCCGGGCGGGGCAGGUCGCGGGGCGUCGCUGUCGGCGGUGACCCCUGCGUGGCGUGGCUGCGGCCCGCGGGGUUCUGGAAGACGGCAACGUCUCGCUGCUUCGUCAGAGGAGGGGAAGCCUUUCGGUGGCCAGUGCGCGCAACGCAACAGCUCUCGACGCUUCUGGGGCGCCGUUUUCGGCUUGGAGAAUUUGCUUGCUGGCUGCUGCAGCUGCAGUCAGGGAAGGAAAUUCAGACGCAAACAGCAGACGGUAUGGGCUCAUUUCCUUUGUCUGACGAGAUAUGGCGCAGACACCAGAGCUCCUUGACGCGCACAUCGACGAACGGCACAGGUCGUACCUG